rnacentral:tRNA from 2 species
CCGAUGUAGCUCAGCUGGCUAGAGCAGCUGAUUUGUAAUCAGCAGGUCGUGGGUUCGAGUCCCUCCAU